GUCCAGCUGAUGACGAGUCGCAAAUAGGACGAAAUGCGCAUCCUGGAU
rnacentral:hammerhead_ribozyme from 1 species